rnacentral:rRNA from 1 species
CCCUUAGAUGUCCGGGGCCGCACGCGCGCUACACUGAAUAGCGUAACGAGUUUCUCUCCUGAUCCGAAAGGGUCGGGCAACCUGUUGAAACCUAUUCGUGACAGGGAUCGGGGCUUGUAAUUAUUCCCCGUGAACGAGGAAUUCCUAGUAAGCGCAAGUCAUAAACUUGCGUUGAUUACGUCCCUGCCUUUUGUACACACCGCCCGUCGCUACUACCGAUUGAAUGGUUUAGCAAGAUCUUCGGGUUGGCGCCUGAGCAGUUCUCUGCUCUUGGUGUCCGAGAAGAUGAUCAAACUUGAUCAUUUAGAGGAAGUAAAAGUCGUAACA